GGCACAAAAAUGAAAUAGAAUAGUUGGGUAUGUUCAGGUGAUCCUACUAAUCUACUCUAAUGCAAGUUUGUGCCC
rnacentral:pre_miRNA from 1 species